UUAAGUUCAGCGGGUAUCCCUACCUGAUCCGAGGUCAAAGGUUGAAUAAAGGCUUGCUGGACGCUGGCCUUGGCUGGAAGAAGAGCGCGACUUGUGCUGCGCUCCGAAACCAGUAGGCCGGCUGCCAAUGACUUUAAGGCGAGUCUCCAGCGAGCUGGAGACAAAGACGCCCAACACCAAGCAAAGCUUGAGGGUACAAA
rnacentral:misc_RNA from 1 species